rnacentral:rRNA from 1 species
GACGAACGCUGGCGGCGUGCCUAAUACAUGCAAGUCGAACGCAGUGGGGACGGGUGAGUAACACGUGGGUAACCUCCCAUCAGAGGGCAUAACACUUGGAAACAGGUGCUAAACCGAUACUGAUUGAUGGACCCUCGGUGCAUUAGCUAGUUGGUGAGGUAACGGCUCACCAAGGCCACGAGGCAUAGCCGGUGUGAGAGGGUGAUCGGCCACACGGGGACUGAGACACGGCCCAGACUCCUACGGGAGGCAGCAGUAGGGAAUCUUCGGCAAUGGGCGAAAGUCUGACCGAGCAACGCCGCGUGAGUGAAGAAGGUUUUCGGAUUGUAAAGCUCUGUUGUUAGAGAAGCGGUAUCUAACCAGAAAGCAACGGCUAACUACGUGCCAGCAGCCGCGGUAAUUC